GCGUGUGCCAGCGCACGCGCGCGCGCUCCCGAAAAGGAGAGGUCCCAGAGCAAGAAGGAGCGGGCCCAGUUUUUCGGAGGGAGUAUCAGGGGUGUUUGUGAGCGUCUAGGGCCGGUCGGUGCCGAGGAAAGGAAGAGGGCACCAUGGCUGCCCUGCUACUGCUUCCCCUGCUCCUGCUGCUGCCUCUGCUGCUACUGAAGCUGCACCUCUGGCCGCAGUUGCGCUGGCUCGCGGCCGAUUUGGCCUUCACGGUGCGCGCCCUCCGCUGCAAAAGGGCUCUGCGAGCUCGUGUGCUGGCUGCGGCUGCCGCCGACCCAGAAGGUCCGGAGGGGGGCUGCAGCCUGGCCUGGCGCCUCGCGCAACUGGCUCGGCAACGCCCGGCGCACACCUUCCUCAUUCACGGCGCGCGGCACUUUAGUUACGCGCAGGCGGAACGUGAGAGUAACCGGGCUGCGCGCGCCUUCUUGCGCGCGCAGGGCUGGGACCCUGGACGCGGCGGAGGCGUCAGGGCGGCGGGGAGCCCGUGGGCAGGAGACCCAGCAGCCGGAAGCAGCGCGGCGCCUCCAAAGGAUAGGGUGGCCGGAGAUGAAGGAGCCAUGGCCCCUCUGGCACCUGGGGCGACCGUGGCGCUUCUCCUCCCCGCCAGCCCAGAAUUCCUGUGGCUCUGGUUCGGGCUGGCCAAGGCCGGCUUGUGCACGGCCUUCGUGCCCACCGCCCUGCGUCGGGGCCCCCUGCUGCAUUGCCUUCGCAGCUGCAGUGCGCGCGCGCUGGUGUUUGCGCCAGGUAAGGCUGGAGCGCCGAACUGACCGAGGCGGGGCCAGCCCAGGAGGGACAUGUCUGGAGUCCGGUGAGGGCUGGGUCUUGUCUCUGGGCCUGGGAAACCGCCGAACUGUCUCCCUGGGGUUCAGAAGUGAGUGGGAUUUGAGUCCGUGGGUUUUGGAACAAUUGGUGCUGAAUCUCUUUCCCCAAGAACAAUUCCAAGGAGUGGGGCUUCAGGUCCCAGACCCGUGAUGGAAUGUCCCUGCCCUUCACCUUCAUCCAAGAGCAGUGCGACAGAUGUGGAGCAUUGGCCAGGGCGUAGGAAAGUUUCCACAGUCGCCGAGUUGUGCUUUCCUACCCCUUCUAGAAUUCCUGGAGUCCCUGGAGCCCGACCUGCCUGCCCUGAGAGCCAUGGGGCUCCACCUGUGGGCUACGGGUCUUGAAACCCGUCUUCCUGGAGUCAGAGAUUUUCUGGCUGAGGCAGCAGCCGAAAUAGAUGAGCCUCUGCCGGGAUACCUCUCUGCCCCCCAGAACAUGAUGGACACGUGCCUGUACAUCUUCACCUCUGGCACCACGGGUGAGGGCUGGACACCAGGCUUACCUUAGGAAACUAAGGCAGAGGAGGGAGGGUCUGGGAACAGGAACUGGGACCUCCUAAGCCCCCGAGAGCACCUCUUCAAGUCUCCUAGAGGGGGCACCUAUCCUGGGGCACCUCCUCUCUCUCCAGCCCUCCCACUCCCUCUUCGUUCCUCACCUCCCCAAAGUACCCACAUCUCCUGGAUGGCCGGACCGCCCUCUGAUUUCUGAUGAUUCUGAUUCUGACCCCAGC
rnacentral:lncRNA from 1 species